rnacentral:lncRNA from 14 species
CCUGGAGCUGUCAGCAGAAACACCUAUGGAUGUGAAGACCCUGCCCCUUUUCCAUUCUGACUGGGUCACAAUAAGAAUUGAUUCCCAUCCAAAAUUAGCAACAGAAGCCUUUGUUUGAGGUACGAUUUUAGACAAUGCAGAGUUUCAUCCCAUAGAGUGCACAGUGCAACUGGAGACAGGGGUGGUGACUCCACAGCGGAUAUCUGGUAGACCACUGUAUAAAGAACACCAGCUCCAUUAUUCAUGCUGUCCUACUAACCGAGCAUCAGUGGACUGGAGCAAAGAUUUAGAAGCCAAGAAAACAUCCGGUUCUUGUAGAGUCCUCAAGUCUGGUUCCCAGAACUGCAUCUUGUGGCUCACAAGCACUUGCAAUUCCAACUCCAGGGGGCACGAUGCUGCCCUCUUCUGGUCUCUAAGGACACCUCACUCACAUGUGUAUUCCCAUACAUACAUAUUCAUGUAAUUAACAAAAUAAAUCUAAAAAUCAAGGAAAUCAAUGUAUUUUUCAGUAAUAUUAAAAUAUAACCCUGGUGUAAAAGGUAACAAAAAUAAUAUAAUAAAACAAGAUUGAG